GGGUGCGAUCGUACCAGCACUAAAGCACCGAUCCCAUCAGAACUCUUUAGUUAAACGUGCUUGGGCGAGAGUAGUACUGGCUUGGGUGAACCGCAAUUUCUUUUC
rnacentral:rRNA from 1 species